AUUGAACGCUGGCGGCAUGCCUUACACAUGCAAGUCGAACGGCAGCACGGGAGCAAUCCUGGUGGCAAGUGGCGAACGGGUGAGUAAAGUAUCGGAACGUGCCCAGUCGUGGGGGAUAACGUAGCGAAAGUUACGCUAAUACCGCAUACGAUCUAUGGAUGAAAGCGGGGGAUCGCAAGACCUCGCGCGAUUGGAGCGGCCGAUAUCAGAUUAGGUAGUUGGUGGGGUAAAGGCUCACCAAGCCGACGAUCUGUAGCUGGUCUGAGAGGACGACCAGCCACACUGGGACUGAGACACGGCCCAGACUCCUACGGGAGGCAGCAGUGGGGAAUUUUGGACAAUGAGCGAAAGCCUGAUUCAGCCAUGCCGCGUGCAGGAUGAAGGCCUUCGGGUUGUAAACUGCUUUUGUACGGAACGAAAAGGUUUGGCCUAAUAAGCUGAGCUCAUGACGGUACCGUAAGAAUAAGCACCGGCUAACUACGUGCCAGCCGCCGCCGUAA
rnacentral:rRNA from 1 species